rnacentral:rRNA from 1 species
UAAAAGUCGUAACAAGGUUUCCGUAGGGGAAACUUGCGGAAAAAUCAUCAACAAAUCCAACCUUAUCAACCCCACCAUGUGAAAAGAGGGGGCAUGUGUAUGUGUGCGCAUGUGUGAAAGCAUAUGUGCGUGUGUGUACGUGUGUCUACACAUCAAGAAAUAUCCACGGCGUUUAGCGUUGUGGAUAUGGAUUGAGUGACCCCACCAUAACCAAACUAAUAACAACCCAUUGUAACUCCAGUUGCAUACUGACCUCACGCUUUGUAGGCGUUUGGUUGUGUGGAUUGAUAUGAUUCGCGUCGUAUUGAUCUUCACAUCACAAAAGAACACAAACCAUGAGACAACUUUAUACGGUGGAUCUCUUGGCUCGUGCAUCGAUGAAGAACGCAGCAAACUGCGAUACGUAGUGUGAAUUGCAGAAUUCAGUGAAUCAUCGAAUCUUUGAACGCAAAUUGCACUCCUGGGUAUCCCUGGGAGUAUGCUUGCCUGAGUGCCACGAAAACCUAUGCUCCAUUGAUGUGAUGCCCUGUGCAUCAUAUGACGAUGGGAAGUGGGGCGUCGGAAGCCACAACAUGAUUGCAGCUUGCGUGCCCUUAAAUUCGUGACGCGUACCUCACCAUAACCUGGAUACGCCACAAGACGGUAACUGGCUUAACGCCACCUUAUUCUACUUGUGUGCUGUGUCCGAUCCAAUACUGGAGACGUGGUGACGGAGUCUGGCGCGCCAAGGUAUAUGUAUUUAUACAAAUGUUAUUUACCAUAACACUUUCAACUUUGGCCUCAGAUCAAGCAAGACUACCCGCUGAAUUUAAGCAUAUCAAUA